rnacentral:tRNA from 1 species
GCGGUCGUAGUCUAGUCUGGUUAUGACAUUGGCUUGCCAAGCCAGUAGCCCGGGUUCGAAUCCCGGCGACCGCA